GAUUUGUUUUCCUAUCUGAGAGUAUCUUUGCUUUCAGUGUCCCUUUAAGGUUUGAGAUGCGCCUCUUUUAGCAGGAAACAGACCACCUUUGGGGCGCAGCAAGUACUUCUGGCACACUUUUCUCCUGAAUCCUUUCAUUCCUAAAUGUGGUGCACCCCCCACCCACCCAUUUUUCCCACAGCUUCCUUUUUUUUUUUCCUAGUUGAAAGCCAUAUUUAUUUGGCCUGUGCAAAUUCCAGGAAGUUAUCCCUCUGCUUCCAAUUUGUGGGACUUAGAGAUCGAACUCAGAUGGUCAUUCUUGGCUUUAAGUGCUGAGGCAUCUAGCUAGACAGUCCGUGUCGUGUCCCCCCCCCCCCCCCCCGCCCCCCCAAGGGUUUCUCUGUGUAGCCCUGGCUGUCCUGGAACUCACUCUGUAGACCAGGCUGACUUGGAACUCAGAAAUCCGCCUGCCUCUGCCUCCCAAGUGCUGGGAUUAAAGGCAUGCGCCACCACGCCAGGCUGUCUCUUUCUCUCUUUCUUUUUUCUUUUUCUUUCUCCCUCUUUGUUUGUUUUUCUUUGUAGCUUUUCUGCCAUCAAGAUAGUUUCAGUCUUAAGUUCCCUUCCCUCUUUGGAACCUCAUUCCCUAAUGUGCUCUCCCGGGCUCUUGGGCCUUCCUUCCUGUGUUGAGUGCAUAGCUGCAAAACACUUCGUCUGUGGCCUCUUCUUUUUUAUUCCUCAGGGCAGUUCUUAUAGUUACCCCACCCUGAGCUGUUCUUCCCUGAUAGGAUGCCCUUUCAUGCACAUGGCUUUUAUUUGUCGGUUGUGAGGUUGUCUCCCUGGGUAGCUCAGGUUAUCCUGGAACUUCCUAGGUGGCUCAGGUUGGCUUUGAAACCCCCUGCCUCUGCCUUACAAGUGCCAGGGCACAGGCAAGAACUUCCAUGUCUGGUUCACAUGACUUUUUAUAGGUAGUUUAUUUUUUUGCAAACAGGAAUUCUCUUUUGGUUCAUGGCCUGUCCAGACAUUUUUCUAGUUUCUGGUUCCUCGUGGACAGUGUUCUGGUUACCUAGUGAUGACAGUUCUCCUCCUUGAUCGUUCUCCUCGAGAAUCCCCUAGUAAUUUGUGGUUAUCUUGGAGCUCCUACUCCUUUGCUGCUUUACUCUCUGUGAGUCUCUGGUGAAGCCCUCCUCCGUGGGUUUUUGUGGGUCUGGUCUCAGCAAUCUCGGCAGGAGGAUUUUUUUUUUUAAGAUUUAUUUAUUUUUAUUAUAUGUAAGUACACUGUAGCUGUCUUCAAACACUCCAGAAGAGGGAGUCAGAUCUCAUUACGGAUGGUUGUGAGCCACCAUGUGGUUGCUGGGAUUUGAACUUCAGACCUUUGGAAGAGCAGUUGGGUACUCUUACCAACUGAACCAUCUCACCAGCCCGAGGAUUGUUACAGACUUGAGGACUGCCUGGACUACAGGAUGAGUUCGAGACUAGCUAGGGAUGCAUCUCAAACAAUCUGCUUAGUUGGUUCUAAGGCUCUUAGGUUCUGCUCCUCCCCACACAUCCUCCUCCCUCUCCUUUUCCUUUUUCCUUUUUUACAUUUUUAUUUUUUGAGUUAGGAUUUCUCUGUGUAGCCUGACACUCCGGCUUUCCUGGAACUAGCUCUGUAAAUUAGGCUGACCUCAAACUCAACAGAGAUUCGGCUUUCUCUGCCUUCUUAGUGCUGAUAUUAAAGGCCCACCACUGCUGGCUGACUCCUUGUAAUCUCCCUGUUCUCUGGGUUAGGGCUUCACGGACCUUUCUAGUAAUGUAUGCUUUCUAGACCAUAAACUACCUUCCAUUAGUUCUUUUGAUCAAGAAAAGAAGUCAUUUGGGCUGAAAGAUGGAGUUCAGUGAUGGUGUACUUGGCCUAGCAACUUAUGGAGGGCCUGGGCUUGAUUUUCAGCAUGAAAAACAGUGUGUUGUAGCCAGGUGUGGUGGAGCACAAUUUUGAUCUCAGCACUUGGGAAACAGGCAGGUGGGAUUUCUGUGACUUCCUGGUCAGCCAGGGCUACAUAGAGAAACCCUGCCUGGAAAACCAAACCUGUUAAAAAAAAAACAAAAACAAAAACAAAAACAAACCAACAAACAAAUCUCUAUCUGGGAUAUCUUGUCUCUCUGGAGCCUACCUCUGUAGGUCCUCUAGUUUCUCUCUUCUCUAGAUUUUUACAUAGUGCUUCCGGCCUCUGAUUCAUUUCCCCACAGCUGGAGUUUCAAAUGCUUAGGGGAUAAUGAGUCCUCUGACCUUUCUUCCUUUUGGGAAGUACUUGAACUUGCAGCUGCAGGAGGCAGGAGGGAGGGGGAGGGGUUGGGAUCUGGGAAGCUUUACCAGUAAGGACAGGGCAGGAAUAGAGACAGCAUCUCAGACCAAGUUCUGAAUCUCAUUUAGAAACUGGACGUUUGCCAAGCACCAGCUUGCUUGGGGUGCUGGGGGACUUGGUGGUACCCCGGGAGCCUGUAGGAAUUAAUGGGACUUGUAGGGAAGGAAGUGCUCCAAACUUAGUGAGAAAACCUGAAUAAAAUUGCCCAUUAUUGUGGUUUUGGAACAGCUAAGCGCUUCACAUUUUUUGACCACUGAAGUCUUAGAAUUUAGUUGUGUUAUUUCAAAGGGAAAUAAGUCCCAUGUUCAUUAUUAGUAAGUGCUACAUUUCUUUAAAAAAAAGCUGGAGGCCUGUCUGAGUAGCACCUAAUAAAACCUGGUCUGUGGAAGUG
rnacentral:lncRNA from 1 species